rnacentral:rRNA from 1 species
AAAAAAAAUCCGUCUCCAUAUGAGCCAUGCACGUCUACGUCAUAUCUCAAAACCGCGAAACCGCGAAUGGCUCAUUAUCUCCUCUAUGCGUUCCUUACAUCGUACCUACUCCCUGGAUAACUGUGCUAACUCUACAGCUCUAUACAUGCCACUAUGCCCUGACCCGCGAGGGAACGGGUGGAUUUAUUAGAACAGAACCAACCGGUUGUGGCUCCGGCUGCAUCCGUUGUACUCUGUGAUGACUCUGGAUAACUUCAAUGAUCCCGUCGGCCUUGUGUCCGCGACGGAUCUUUCAAAUGUCUGCCCUAUCAAUUUACGAUGGUAGGUGACCUGCCUACCAUGGUGAUAACGGGUAACGGGGAAUCAGGGUUCGAUUCCGGAGAGGGAGCCUGAGAAACGGCUACCACUUCCAAGGAAGGCAGCAGGCACGCAAAUUACCCAAUCCCGGCACGGGGAGGUAGUGACGAAAAAUACGAAUACGGGACUCAACAGAGGCUCCGUAAUUCGAAUGAGUACAAUUUAAAUCCUUUAACGAGGAUCAACUGGAGGGCAAGUCUGGUGCCAGCAGCCGCGGUAACUCCAGCUCCAGAAGCGUAUAUUAAAGUUGUUGCAGUUAAAAAGCUCGUAGUUGGAUCUGGGUCGCAUGGCUACGUGCCGUCGCUCACUUUCUCGGUUGGCUGUUAAGGCCCUGGGUGUGGUGGGUCGGUGUCGUGGUUGUGUGGUCUUUCUGCCGUGUCUGGUUCACAGGUGCUGACUAGGCCUUCGGGUUUGUCGGCAUGCUUCCAGAUGCCUUUAAACGGGUGUCGGGAGCGGACGGCACCGUUUACUUUGACAAAUUUGAGUGCUCAAGCAGGCCUUGUGCCUGAAAUUCUUGCAUGGAAAAUGGAAUGGACUUCGGUCUAUUUGUUGGUUUCGGAUCGAAGUAUGGUUAGAGGGACGACGGGGGCUUUGAAGGCGCGUAAAGGUGAAUUCUUGGACGCCUCAGACAACUCAGCGAAGCAUUGCCAGGAUGUUUCUUGACUGGACGAAGUCAAGGUCGAGACAUCAAAACCGUCUAGUCUGACAUAACGAGCCACUGACAUCGCGGGGUCUUUAUGUCCCCGGGAGCCCGGGAACUUUAAUCUUGGCCCGGGGAAUUGGUGCAACUGAACUAAGGAUGACGAGGGCCCCGGAUGAGCUGGGUUAUUCAUCACCGGAA